GCUAAGGUGGCAUAGUGGUUAGCGCAUCUGCCUAGUGAGCAGAAGACCUGAGUUCGAAUCUCGGCUUUGGUA